rnacentral:misc_RNA from 1 species
GUAAUGCGAUAAGUAGUGUGAAUUGCAGAAUUCAGUGAAUCAUCGAAUCUUUGAACGCACAUUGCGCCCCUUGGUAUUCCAUGGGGCAUGCCUGUUCGAGCGUCAUUUGUACCCUCAAGCUCUGCUUGGUGUUGGGUGUUUGUCCCCGUCUCCGCGCGUGGACUCGCCCCAAAGUGAUUGGCAGCCGGCGUACUGGUCCCGGAGCGCAGCACAUGUCGCGCAAACGAGUGCCUUGGUACGGCGGCGUCCAUAAGCCCCUCUCUCACGCUCUUGACCUCGGAUCAGGUAGGGAUACCCGCUGAACUUAAGC